AGAUCAUGUUGAUGAAAAUUUCUGAUCAACCCUUUGUAACAUUCCCAUGCCUCGUCUAAUGACUCCCCAGUUUGUUGCUCAAAGUUAGCUAUUGCCUUCUUGAGUUU